rnacentral:rRNA from 1 species
CUCAAAGGAGACUGCCAGUGAUAAACUGGAGGAAGGUGGGGAUGACGUCAAGUCAUCAUGGCCCUUACGACCAGGGCUACACACGUGCUACAAUGGCAUAUACAAAGAGAAGCGACCUCGCGAGAGCAAGCGGACCUCAUAAAGUAUGUCGUAGUCCGGAUUGGAGUCUGCAACUCGACUCCAUGAAGUCGGAAUCGCUAGUAAUCGUAGAUCAGAAUGCUACGGUGAAUACGUUCCCGGGCCUUGUACACACCGCCCGUCACACCAUGGGAGUGGGUUGCAAAAGAAGUAGGUAGCUUAACCUUCGGGAGGGCGCUUACCACUUUGUGAUUCAUGACUGGGGUGAAGUCGUAACAAGGUAACCGUAGGGGAACCUGCGGUUGGAUCACCUCCUU